AAUAAUAUUACACCUACAAUAAUGGUAUAGGAAGAAAUCAAAGUGAAGAAAAAAUGUUCAGGUGAAGACAAAUUCAAAGUUUUUGGCAACAUCCCAAACUUCCUUUCUUUCCCAAUGACAUUCCUUAUAUUUGAAAAUAAAUGAAUGAUAGAAAAAAAAUCUUAAACCUUAUUUUUGCCAGAGAGGAUACAAUAUUAGUCUGAGAUUAAUAAAACUGAGGCACUGAGGCACAUUCAGUUUAAUUUAUUGCACUUCCUGGGUCACAUAACCUGCAUUUCCUGAAGUUGUUUGUUCACUGGAAUGAUUGACGCUUAGGUUCUAUGAAGGGAGCAUUUUAAGACAUUAUAGGUGCAUUCCUAAUGCAUUUCAAACAGAUGAGAACUCAAUUAUGUUGCCUUUAAAAACCUAGUUUUACCCAAGUUUUAAGGCUGCAUUACAUAAUUUGUGAAGAAGGCAAUUCCAUAAAAUAUGAGCAUCAUAAUGUGUUUGCAUUUAUAUUAGCAUGCCAUUCACUUAGCAACAUACCAAAACUAUCAAAGCAUGUAAAAGCUGGCUAUUAAUACAGUUCUAUCACAGUUAUGAGGUGGCCUACUGUAUGUAGGCAAUGAGACAGUUCAUAGGUUUUGGAAGAUAACAAAUAUCCUGAACAUGUAUAGCACUUAAGAAGGAGUAGGCCAUGUAAUUUAUAACUGUGAGAAAUUUGCUUGCCUCUUUUUCCCACUCUAGCCUUGAUCCCAUCAGCUGUUUCACAGAACAAUCAGGCCUCACCUGGAAGUGAUGUAGCAUCUGCGAUUGGCUGAUGCAAUUCCAGCAACAGCUCGCUCUCAUAGCCUGAAGAGUCUGAUGCCUGUUGUUGAGGAUGAUGUGCUUUAGCUCGUGGACGUACAGCUGCAUCUGUCUCUUUUGCCCUCCAUCAAACUCAAGUGGGUCUUGAUUCUUUUAAUGUCCUUUGGCUUUGGAUUCAAUCAGCGGUUCAAUUUGCUCCAGGCCUCCUUGAAGCGGGAUGGAUGAGGUCUCGGGCAGAGGUUUCCAAAAGGUGCCACAACUGGAUGAUAAUUGUCUAAAAUGACAUUCAAAUAUUCUAACCUGAGGUGACUGUGUUUUCUCUCAUGUAAAAUAUAUAUAUAUAUAUAUUAUUUACUUUUAUUUAUUUAUUUAUUUUAUAUUUAUUUACUAUUAUUAUUAUUAUUUUUUUUUUGGUGAGUUUCCUUAUACAGUGGUGAUUUAAUGCUUAGGCCCCUCACUUACCAGUAAGAGACUGUUAACUGACUUUGAUAGAGUCUAAUCUGUAAGCAAGUAAUGCAACAAAACUAGAAUGAACCAUUCAGACAUUUAAAAUCACCCUCCCAACUUCUUAUUAUAAAUAAGCAAAGAGAGAAAAAAAAUGAAUUACCCUAAGGUGGGAAAAAAAAGGAUUAUAUAUUAAUUACAUAAAUUAUGAAGUAUUUAAACAUAGUGGUAUUAUU
ensembl:lncRNA